UAAUUUUUUUCUCUCUCCCCUGCGCCUCCCCUGCUCCGCGAAGAACGGAGAAUGGAAGAUUAAUUUGAUGAAGCUCGAAGAAAACUUGAAGAUUCAGCAUCAUAUUGAAAGAACAAGAUAAGUUUCUCAUCAUAUUUUUGUUCCUAUUGAUUCUCAUUAUUUUUUAACCAAAAAGAAGUUCUGAAAAGUUUAUUGACAGCUUCAAAUACCUAAUAAGUUCGAUUUUACUUUGAAGUUUGAUCUGAUUUUAGAAUCGUUGCUCCAAUCUAUCACCCUUUUAUCAUUUUCUUUGAUUCGAACUAUUUUUUUCGAAUUUUUUUUUCGAAAUAUUUUUUGGGGUUUGUAAUCAGCCCUGAUUUGUAAUUUUUUAUGAUUUCAACUAAAUUUUCUCGAUGAAAUCAAGAUUAGAGUUCAGAUCUGUUAUAAUCUAAUCUUUAUCUUGCUUUUAACAUGCAAAAUCAUGAAAGUAAAUCACAUAAUUUUUUCUAGGUUUUUUUUAUUGAAGAUCAAUCGAUCAAUUUAUCUUAAAUCUCUUUUGAAAAUCAGUUUUCAUAUUCGAAAUCUACGAAUCAUCAUCUCUAUUACCCAUCUAUUUGUUAUUAGGUUCGUACUAGAAUAAAUAUGUGUUGCACAAGUAUGUAUCAUUCAGGAAGGAGUGGUACUUGUUUAUGAUGUUUAUAAUUUGACUAUGAUUAUUGAUUUGAUAAGUAUUUUAAUUUUGUCACUACUAAGUUGGUGGUCUUUUCAUCACACAGGUGUGGUAGAAAACAGAGUGGUGUGUAUUUGGACGGAGUUGCUUCUGAUGGUGUAAUGGGACUGGGACUAGGACCAGGGGACAUUUCUAUUCUAAGUUCUCUAGCAAAAGCUGGAUUGGCACCAAACUCUUUCUCAAUGUGCUUUGAUGAUGAUGACUUUGGGAGAAUUUUCUUGGGGACAAAGGAGCUGCAUCUGAAAAAUCCACAUCUUUCUUGCCGUUGGAUGGGAAAAUUGAUGCCUACAUGGUUGAAGUGGAGGGUUGUUGAGUAGGGAGUUCUUGUCUAGCGCAAACUAAGUUCCAAGCACAGGUUGAUAGUGACACGUCAUUCAUGUUCCUUCCGAAGAAAGUAUAUGGGGAAGUCGUCUCGGAGGAACAAGAAAACUCUGGAGAGAAGCAGGUCAAUUAUCAAUGUCGAUGUUCGUUUCUGGAAAUAUAUAAUGGAUAGGUGAUUUACUUGAUCCCACGCAGAGAAACCUUAAGAUAUGCUAUCACUCUCUAUUCACUUGUAAUGUUGGAUGCUAAGCAAUGUACAAAAGAGACAAAAUGAGCUCACAGUCAAGAUUUGACAGUUCAACGUAUUAUCAAUGAGCUCAGAGUCAGGUAGAGGUUUCAGAGGAGUAUUUUGGAGUCAGUGGUGCAGGAAGUACAGAGGUUGGGUCCAUCCAAAUACUUUAAUUGAAAAUUAACCUCAAUUUUACAUCUUCAAUUUCACUUGAAAACCUCAAGUACAUUGAGAAAGAGAACCUGGAGAAGCUCGCAUGCAAGGAGCUAACUAGGGGUCUUGGUGUUGGUGGUAAUUCUGAUUUUGGUAUGAAUGCUGGUUAAGAGAAAGUAGAGAAGCAAUAGCGGAGACACUUUUAUGGUUCUGAGGUCGUAUUUGUAAUGGUGCAGAGACAUAUAAAGGGAGGCGCAGAAAACACAAAAGAACUACCUUUAUAUCACCAUUUUGACGCCUGCAAGUGUUUGACAGAGAUCGUGAAAUAUUGAAGGUUGAAAGAUACAAUUGGUGCGAUUUCCGGUUUUAAUUUGCAAUCAGAUCAGAUGUGCAAAUACAUUGGACUCGAGAAAGACAAAAAAGGAAGGAAACAUUUCUAUUAUAGGAUAUAAUGGAUUUUUCUAGGAUUUCGCUUUCGAUAUCAUGUGAUUCAUUUCGUUCAUUGUGUUCAAACAACCAACUACUAUAACACAACUAAUUACUAUAACUGUAGUAAUUGAUGAACGGACAAAUUAUUGUAAAUGAAAAUUAAAGUAAUACGUAUAUUUUAUGAUGAA